UACGUAGGGACCAAGCGUUGUUCGGAUUUACUGGGCGUAAAGGGCGCGUAGGCGGCGUGUCAAGUCAGCUGUGAAAUCUUGAGGCUUAACCUCAAGCGGUCAGCUGAUACUGAUGUGCUAGAGUGCAGAAAGGGCAAUCGGAAUUCUUGGUGUAGCGGUGAAAUGCGUAGAUAUCAAGAGGAACACCUGAGGCGAAGGCGGGUUGCUAGGCUGACACUGACGCUGAGGCGCGAAAGCCAGGGGAGCAAACGGGAUUAGAAACCCCCGUAGUCC
rnacentral:rRNA from 1 species